UUUUUUUUUUUUUUUUUUUUUUUUUUUUUUUUUUUAAAAAAAAAGAGUCUAACGGGGUGAUUGAAAUGAAGUGAAGGGAGGAAAGGA
rnacentral:ribozyme from 15 species